rnacentral:lncRNA from 1 species
AAAUAAAUAAAAAAGAUAGAAUAGAACCUAGUAUUAAAAUUGAGAAUAAUAAAACACAAUGUCAAUGAAAGUAAUUGGAAAAAAAUCUCAUGAUAACCUAUUUAAUAGUGAAAAAUCUUUAAUCCUCUGACUUUGUAUUAGUAUAAGCAGAUUAUAUAACUCUACUAGGAUGAAUGAGUGAAGAAGUGGGGUGAUAAAGAGGUCAAAUAUUUAACAUUUAUCCUCAAUAUACAAAUUAAGCAAUACUUAUAUUUCUCGUACCAAUUAAAAAAAUAGAUGACAAAAAAUAAAAAUGAUAUUGUUG